rnacentral:rRNA from 1 species
GUUGAACGCUGGCGGCAGGCCUAACACAUGCAAGUCGAACGAGUGGCGGACGGGUGAGUAACGUCUGUGAACCUGCCCGAUGGAGGGGGAUAACUACUGGAAACGGUAGCUAAUACGGCAUACCAUCGGCUGUUCCAAGGUUGGAUUAGCUAGUAGGUGGGGUAACGGCUUACCAAGGCAACGAUCCCUAGCGGGUCUGAGAGGAUGACCAGCCACACUGGAACUGAGACACGGUCCAGACUCCUACGGGAGGCAGCAGUGGGGAAUAUUGCACAAUGGGCGCAAGCCUGAUGCAGCCAUGCCGCGUGUGUGAAGAAGGCCUUCGGGUUGUAAAGCACUUUCAGCGGGGAGGCGUUACCCACAGAAGAAGCACCGGCUAACUCCGUGCCAGCAGCCGCGGUAAUUC